rnacentral:rRNA from 1 species
AGAGCGAACGCUGGCGGCAGGCCUAACACAUGCAAGUCGAACGAACUCUUCGGAGUUAGUGGCGGACGGGUGAGUAACACGUGGGAACGUGCCUUUAGGUUCGGAAUAACUCAGGGAAACUUGUGCUAAUACCGAAUGUGCCCUUCGGGGGAAAGAUUUAUCGCCUUUAGAGCGGCCCGCGUCUGAUUAGCUUGGUUGGUGGGUAAUGGCCCACAAGGCUACGAUCAGUAGCUGGUCUGAGAGGAUGACCAGCCACAUUGGGACUGAGACACGGCCCAAACU